UGUUGUGUAGCUUAGUUGGUUAAUGCGCCGGUCUAGCGAUACCGAGUCGUGGUUUCAAAUCCUACCAAAACAA
rfam:Aedes albopictus isolate Foshan contig135876, whole genome shotgun sequence.